GAUGAACGCUGGCGGCGUGCCUAAUACAUGCAAGUCGAGCGAAUGGAUUAAGAGCUUGCUCUUAUGAAGUUAGCGGCGGACGGGUGAGUAACACGUGGGUAACCUGCCCAUAAGACUGGGAUAACUCCGGGAAACCCGGGCUAAUACCGGAUAACAUUUUGAACCGCAUGGUUCGAAAUUGAAAGGCGGCUUCGGCUGUCACCUAUGGAUGGACCCGCGUCGCAUUAGCUAGUUGGUGAGGUAACGGCUCACCAAGGAAACGAUGCGUAGCCGACCUGAGAGGGUGAUCGGCCACACUGGGACUGAGACACGGCCCAGACUCCUACGGGAGGCAGCAGUAGGGAAUCUUCCGCAAUGGACGAAAGUCUGACGGAGCAACGCCGCGUGAGUGAUGAAGGCUUUCGGGUCGUAAAACUCUGUUGUUAGGGAAGAACAAGUGCUAGUUGAAUAAGCUGGCACCUUGACGGUACCUAACCAGAAAGCCACGGCUAACUACGUGCCAGCCGCCGCAGUAA
rnacentral:rRNA from 1 species